rnacentral:piRNA from 1 species
GUGACGACGUUAAGCUGAGAGUG